rnacentral:rRNA from 1 species
GACGAACGCUGGCGGCGUGCUUAACACAUGCAAGUCGAACGGAAAGGCCCUGCUUUUGUGGGGUGCUCGAGUGGCGAACGGGUGAGUAACACGUGAGUAACCUGCCCUUGACUUUGGGAUAACUUCAGGAAACUGGGGCUAAUACCGGAUAGGAGCUCCUGCUGCAUGGUGGGGGUUGGAAAGUUUCGGCGGUUGGGGAUGGACUCGCGGCUUAUCAGCUUGUUGGUGGGGUAGUGGCUUACCAAGGCUUUGACGGGUAGCCGGCCUGAGAGGGUGACCGGCCACAUUGGGACUGAGAUACGGCCCAGACUCCUACGGGAGGCAGCAGUGGGGAAUAUUGCACAAUGGGCGGAAGCCUGAUGCGGCAACGCCGCGUGCGGGAUGACGGCCCUCGGGUUGUAAACCGCUUUCGCCUGUGACGAAGCGUGAGUGACGGUAAUGGGUAAAGAAGCACCGGCUAACUACGUG